AAUAAACUAAUUUUUGAGUUUUUGGAUAGAACUUUUGACUCAUUGUCUUAUUUGAAAUUUUUUCAUGAUUAAUACUUUUAUUGUUAUUAUAUGAUAAAAUAUAAAUAGUACUUUAUGUGUGACUAAUUUUUAAUUAAUAAAUUUUACAAAUAAGACGAAUGAUCAAAUGCUUAACCUAGGAAACUCAG
rnacentral:pre_miRNA from 1 species